rnacentral:rRNA from 1 species
CAGCAGCCGCGGUAAUACGAGGGGGGCAAGCGUUGUUCGGAAUUAUUGGGCGUAAAGGGCGCGUAGGCGGUUUGACAAGUUUGGUGUGAAGUCUAUGGGCUCAACCCAUAGCCUGCAUCGAAAACUGUCGGGCUUGAGUAUGGGAGAGGUGAGUGGAAUUUCCGGUGUAGCGGUGAAAUGCGUAGAUAUCGGAAGGAACACCUGUGGCGAAAGCGGCUCACUGGACCAUUACUGACGCUGAGGCGCGAAAGCUAGGGGAGCAAACAGGAUUAGAUACCCGCGUAGUCCCUGUCUCUUAUAC